rnacentral:rRNA from 1 species
CCUAUGGGGGGCAGCAGUGGGGAAUAUUGGACAAUGGGGGGAACCCUGAUCCAGCGACGCCGCGUGAGUGAAGAAGUAUUUCGGUAUGUAAAGCUCUAUCAGCAGGGAAGAAAGAAAUGACGGUACCUGACUAAGAAGCCCCGGCUAACUACGUGCCAGCAGCCGCGGGAAUACGUAGGGGGCAAGCGUUAUCCGGAUUUACUGGGUGUAAAGGGAGCGUAGACGGCGAUGCAAGUCUGAAGUGAAAGGCGGGGGCCAAACCCCCGGACUGCUUUGGAAACUGUAUGGCUGGAGUGCGGGAGAGGUAAGUGGAAUUACUAGUGUAGCGGUGAAAUGCGUAGAUAUUAGGAGGAACACCAGUGGCGAAGGCGGCUUACUGGACUGUAACUGACGUUGAGGCUCGAAAGCGUGGGGAGCAAACAGGAUUAGAUACCCCUGUAGUC